CCUACGGGGGGCAGCAGGGAGGAAUAUUGGGCAAUGGCCGGAAGGCUGAACCAGCCAAGUCGCGGGAAGGAAGAAGGAGCUAUGGUUUGUAAACUUCUGUUAUAGGGGAAUAAAGGUAUCCACGUGUGGAUCUUUGCAUGUACCCUAUGAAUAAGCAUCGGCUAACUCCGUGCCAGCAGCCGCGGUAAUACGGAGGGUGCGAGCGUUAUCCGGAUUUAUUGGGUUUAAAGGGUGCGUAGGUUGUUUUUUAAGUCAGCGGUGAAAGUUUGUGGCUCAACCGUAAAAUGGCCGUUGAAACUGGCAGACUUGAGUGUGUUUGAGGUAGGCGGAAUGCGUGGUGUAGCGGUGAAAUGCAUAGAUAUCACGCAGAACUCCGAUUGCGAAGGCAGCUUACUAAGCCAUAACUGACACUGAGGCACGAAAGCGUGGGGAUCAAACAGGAUUAGAUACCCUAGUAGUC
rnacentral:rRNA from 1 species